CCUACGGGUGACAGCAGUGAGGAAUAUUGCUCAAUGGGCGAGAGCCUGAACCAGCCAAGUCGCGUGAAGGAUGAAGGAUCUCUGGUUUGUAAACUCCUUUUAUAUGGGAAUAAAGUGAGGGACGUGUAACUUUUUGUAUGUACCAUAUGAAUAAGAAUAGGAUAACUCCGUGCCAGCAGCCGCGGUACUACGGAGGAUGCGAGCGUUACCCGGAUUUAUUGGGUUUAAAGGGUGCGCAGGUGGUUGAUUAAGUCAGCGGUGAAAGGUUGUGGCUUAACCAUAAAAUUGCCGUUGAAACUGGUUGACUUGAGUAUUUUUGAGGGAGGUAGAAUGCGUGGUGUAGCGGUGAAAUGCGUAGAUAUCACGCAGAACUCCGAUUGCGAAGGCAGCUUACUAAACUAUAACUGACACUGAGGCGCGAAAGCGUGGGGAUCAAACAGGAUUAGAUACCCGAGUAGUC
rnacentral:rRNA from 1 species